GGAGGCAUGGCUGAGUGGUUGAAAGCAUCCGCCUUAUAAGCGGCUAAGAGGUCCCUAGCUUACCGGCGACCGGGUCUCUCGGGGGUUCGAAUCCCUCUGCCUCCGCCA
rnacentral:tRNA from 1 species